AGCCAGUGUGGUAUAGUGUUUUGAGCGUUGGAUUGUGACUCUAGAGACCGGGGUUCGAAUCCCAGCUUGGCUA